AGUCGAGGGGCAGCACGAGUAGCAAUACUUGGUGGCGACCGGCGCACGGGUGCGUAACACGUAUGCAAUCUACCUAUAACUGGGGUAUAGCUCGGAGAAAUUCGAAUUAAUCCCCCAUAAAAUCGCAGAGGGGCAUCUCUCAACGAUUAAAGUUCCGACGGUUAUAGAUGAGCAUGCGCGACAUUAGCUAGUUGGUGAGGUAACGGCUCACCAAGGCGACGAUGUCUAGGGGAUCUGAGAGGACUAACCCCCACACUGGUACUGAGACACGGACCAGACUCCUACGGGAGGCAGCAGUAAGGAAUAUUGGACAAUGGUCGCAAGACUGAUCCAGCCAUGCCGCGUGCAGGUAGAAGGCCCUAUGGGUUGUAAACUGCUUUUGUAUGGGAAUAAACCCUCGUUCGUGAACGAGGCUGAAUGUACCAUAAGAAUGAGGGUCGGCUAACUUCGUGCCAGCAGCCGCGGUAAGACGAAGGACCCGAGCGUUAUCCGGAUUCACUGAGUUUAAAGGGUGCGUAGGCGGAUUUAUAAGUCAGUGGUGAAAGCCCGCAGCUUAACUGCGGAACUGCCAUUGAUACUGUAGAUCUUGAGUACGUUUGAUGUGGGCGGAAUAUGACAUGUAGCAGUGAAAUGCUUAGAUAUGUCAUAGAACACCGAUUGCGAAGGCAGCUCACAAAGCCGUAACCGACGCUGAGGCACGAAAGCGUGGGGAUCAAACAGGAUUAGAUACCCUGGUAGUCCACGCCGUAAACGUUGAUUACUCGUUGUUGGCGAUAUACUGUCAGCGACUAAGCGAAAGCGUUAAGUAAUCCACCUGGGGAGUACGACCGCAAGGUUGAAACUCAAAGGAAUUGACGGGGGCCCGCACAAGCGGUGGANCAUGUGGUUUAAUUCGAUGAUACGCGAGGAACCUUACCAGGGCUUGAAAGUUAGUGACGAUNCGUG
rnacentral:rRNA from 1 species